CUUAAGACAGUUAUCUACAUGCUCAUCCUGAAGACACUACAGGUGCACACAGAGACAGCAUCACGUAGACGGACUGAAAAACGUUGAGCCACUGGAUGGUUACAGCACAACAGGACCCAAAUGCAGGAACCAGGUUGGAGUCUGAGGACUUGGCUUGACAGCGAGCAGAAACAUGCAUGCAGAAAACAGGUGCCACAUAUUCACACACGGCAAUGCUGGACCUCCCACACAAGGACAUCGGUUUCCUCUUGAGAGAAGCUUUUGUAGUUAAUCCACUCCCAACUGUUCUCUGUAUCACAGAGCGUGCUCCAUGAAGCAGAAAGCAAUCUUUCAGAAAAGAAAGGGAAAAAAGAGCUGAUUUGAUUGAUGAUGACUGACGUGAGCCUCUACCACAUCCUGAUAAUAUAUUUCUCAUAAUCACACCCCGUUUCCAACUGCACUUCAGUUGUGCCACAUGCCUCUAGCAAUGAAAUAUCCGAAAGUCAGCUGCCCCAGCGUGAGUGCAGCACUCUGCACCACUGACUCUUUAGAACAGAGCCCAGAGACACCAAUUUGUCCGUCGACAACAGCCACAAUAUACCAAAAUAUAAUACAGUGUUUUGAGUAAUGCCUGCUAUUCACACAUUUCUCUCAUUCUGUUUCCCUUAAAUUUAUGAUUCUCCUGCUCUCUUGAUAUUGCUGUUGCUCUCUUCACCAAAAUAAGUGCAACAAGUUCUCAUCCUAUCUGUGAGUCAUGCUGAAAGGCAUUCUGGGAAAUCAUUAAGAGGAAGAUGUUUACACCGUGUCCCAAUUCAGUUCUAAAAACUAAACUAUAAAAUCCUGUAUGCACCAAUACAGUGCAUGAUUUUGGCAAUUAGCUGAGUGUGAAAGAAAUGCUUGUAUUUUUAUCAUGUACUAACUGUGCUUCUGUGAGCAGAUGUGUAGGUAAAAAGCACAAGAACAAGAUGUGUUAUUGGUUAGCUUCAGGCAGAAAAACAAUUUGGUUAGGUUUAGAAAAACACUGAUUUGGAUUAAAAUCACUACUUUGUUGAGGUAAGGUGUUACGGUUCCCAGGGAUAA